rnacentral:rRNA from 1 species
UACGGGGGGGGCAAGCGUUGUUCGGAAUUACUGGGCGUAAAGGGUUCGUAGGUGGCUCGCUAAGUCAGACGUGAAAUCCCUCAGCUUAACUGGGGAACUGCGUCUGAGACUGGCGAGCUCGAGUGCAGGAGAGGAACGCGGAAUUCCAGGUGUAGCGGUGAAAUGCGUAGAUAUCGGGAGGAACACCAGUGGCGAAGGCGACUUCCUGGCCUGUUCUUGACGCUGAGGCGCGAAAGCUAGGGUAGCAAACGGG